GACGAACGCUGGCGGCGUGCCUAAUACAUGCAAGGCGAACGCGAGCAGCAAUGCUCGAGUGGCGAACGGGUGAGUAAUACAUAAGUAACCUGCCCUAGACAGGGGGAUAACUGCUGGAAACGGCAGCUAAGACCGCAUAGGUAUGGACACUGCAUGGUGACCAUAUUAAAAGUGCCAAGGCACUGGUAGAGGAUGGACUUAUGGCGCAUUAGCUGGUUGGUGAGGUAACGGCUCACCAAGGCGACGAUGGAUAGGGGUUCUGAGAGGAACGGUCCCCCACAUUGGAACUGAGACACGGUCCAA
rnacentral:rRNA from 1 species